rnacentral:tRNA from 1 species
AAGGCAGUAAGUUAAUCUUUAAACUAUCACCCUUCAAAGGUGAAAAUGGAAUAUUCCUUGCCUUA